AGCGAACGCUGGCGGCAGGCUUAACACAUGCAAGUCGAGCGGGCACUUUCGGGUGUCAGCGGCUGACGGGUGAGUAACGCGUGGGAACGUGCCCUCUGGUUCGGAAUAACCCAGGGAAACUUGAGCUAAUACCGGAUACGCCCUUUAGGGAAAAGGCUUGCUGCCGGAGGAUUGGCCCGCGUCUGAUUAGCUAGUUCGUGAGGUAACGGCUCACCAAGGCGACGAUCGGUAGCUGGUAUGGGAGGAUGAUCAGCCACACUGGGACUGAGAACCGGCCCGGACUCUUGCGGGAGGCAGCAAGGGGGACUAUUGGACGAUGGGCGCAAGCCUGAUCCAGCCAUGCCGCGUGAGUGAUGAAGGCCUUAGGGUUGUAAAGCUCUUUUAUCCGGGACGAUAAUGACGGUACCGGAGGAAUAAGCCCCGGCUAACUUCGUG
rnacentral:rRNA from 1 species